CCUACGGGGGGCAGCAGUAGGGAAUUUUGCGCAAUGGGGGAAACCCUGACGCAGCAACACCGCGUGAAUGUUAAGCCCUUCGGGGUGUAAAGUUCUGUCAAUAGGGACGAAUUUUGACUGUACCUAUAAAGGAAGCACCGGCUAACUCCGUGCCAGCAGCCGCGGUAAUACGGGGGGUGCAAGCGUUGUCCGGAAUCAUUGGGCGUAAAGCGUUCGUAGGCGGUAUGUCAAGUCUGAUGUUAAAGCCCGGGGCUCAACUCCGGUUCGGCAUUGGAUACUGGCAAACUAGAAUGUGGUAGAGGUAA
rnacentral:rRNA from 1 species